UACGGAGGAUCCAAGCGUUAUCCGGAAUCAUUGGGUUUAAAGGGUGCGUAGGCGGGAAGCUAAGUCAGUGGUGAAAUCUCUCGGCUCAACCGAGAAACUGCCAUUGAUACUGGUUUUCUUGAAUUUGAUUGAAGUGGGCGGAAUAUGACAUGUAGCGGUGAAAUGCUUAGAUAUGUCCUAGAACACCGAUAGCGAAGGCAGCUCACUAAGUCAACAUUGACGCUGAGGCACGAAAGCGUGGGGAGCGAACAGG
rnacentral:misc_RNA from 1 species